AGGGAAUCUUCCACAAUGGACGAAAGUCUGAUGGAGCAACGCCGCGUGAGUGAUGAAGGUUUUCGGAUCGUAAAACUCUGUUGUAAGGGAAGAACCAGUACGUCAGGCAAUGGACGUACCUUGACGGUACCUUAUUAGAAAGCCACGGCUAACUACGUGCCAGCAGCCGCGGUAAUACGUAGGUGGCGAGCGUUGUCCGGAAUUACUGGGCGUAAAGGGCGCGUAGGCGGCUCUUUAAGUUAGAUGUGAAAACCCAGGGCUCAACCCUGGGAGUGCAUUUAAAACUGAAGGGCUCGAGUGCAGGAGAGGUAAGUGGAAUUCCUAGUGUAGCGGUGAAAUGCGUAGAUAUUAGGAGGAACACCAGUGGCGAAGGCGACUUACUGGACUGUAACUGACGCUGAGGCGCGAAAGCGUGGGGAGCAAACA
rnacentral:rRNA from 1 species